GUCAUUACGAAAGUGCUUCUCUUGUUGUUGUUGUUGUUUUCUAAAUUAAAUCCUAAAGUGGGCUUUCAAAAUACGUAAUUAGUAAUAACUGUAACAGCAAUUUUUAAAAAGUUUACAAAAGGGUAGAAAAUACAAGAAAUCACACCAAUGCAAAAUUUAAUGCCCCUCCCAAUAUAAAUGCAUAGGAAAAAAUACUCAAAUAUUUAAAGCAAUUUUCCUAGGUCAUGGGAGAUUUUACAGUUUUCUCUCUAUAGCAAAUCAAAGUGAAAUGCCACUUAAAUUCACAGAAAGGGAUGAAUUUUUUUCCUAUUAUGAAAGCAAAGAAUGGAAAUUAAUUAGAACAGAAUCCUAUUGAAUUUAACUUUUCUACAUUUGAGCAUCAGUUCUUUUUAUAACAAAAAUUUAUUUUAUAAUUUACACAUUUUAAAUUCAUGGGCAUGCUUGUCACCUGGCCCAGUCAUCUGUAGGAGAAAAGGGGACAGGAUGUUAUGAAUGGAGUGUCCCCAUGGUCCCGGGUGCUCAGAGUCCAGGGAGACACUGGUGCUGGACACUGUGGCUCAACGUCAGCACUGAGCUACAUAGUCUCAGAGGACUGAGUGAUAAGAAUUCUUUCUCUACCGUUUUUAAAAAGCCAAGUUCCUGAUUUACACAGGUGGGGGGCGGGUUGGGGGAAGUUUACCACAUUACAUUUCACAUUUUCAUCUAUCAUAAUUUAGAUCUUUACAUUUCUUGAGUUGGUGAUUGAUAGCCUCCAAACACAUAAACACUCUCCACCUGUACAAAAUGCACCAGGGACUUUUGUCUCAUAAAGGCAGGAUCAAGGUGGAAGUGAAUCAAAUUCUAAAACCCGAUCCUUAGCAGAAGUAAGUCCCAGGAUUGACUGUGGCCACAGAAGGUGACAGUUUCUGGAUGCUGUUAGUUUGUAGCAAAUUGAAGUUUUGUAGUCUUAUCUAUUACCAGAAAAACCCUCAAAAAAAAAAAAAAAUGUAGCCGGUGGGGGAGAAAGCAGGAGCCCCACCGUCUCAUUUUUAACUAGGACCAGCUGAAAAAUGAAGGCAAGCACCACACAGACCAUCUUAUGUCUGCCAAUUCAUUUCCUGGCCCCAAAAGAAAAAAAAAGGGAAAAAAGGAAAAAAAAAAAAAAAAACACCUCGUGUUUCCUCUCAUGCAGGCCAAACAUGGCAAAGCACCAGGGGAAUUCUGAAUGGAAUCAAUUGCACUUGUUACUAACUGAGUUUUCUUUUAUUCUUAUAUUACCAAGGGCUGGAUACUCAGCUGCAAGCAAUUAUAACGAAGAGUUACUGAGUAAUGGUUUCCAGAUUGCUCCAUGAUGGGGCAUUAAUUGAAAGGGACAAUUUAAGAGCUUAGGCCAUGUAAAUGCAUUUCUUAUUCUGUCAGAUUGAGAAAUUUCUGGAUGCAAAAGGCUGAAAUGCUCAGAACUGAUAAAGACUUAAUAAUGCCCAUUUAAACCAACAUUUUCAAAAUGAGUUUCAUGUUUUUAAAAGAACAAAUAUAAAAUGGUGAACCUGUGAGCUUGUUCAUUCAAUCAGAAAAAUAUUUGAAAUAGCACAUUUGCAUGCAGCACUCAUAGGCAUGUAUCUUAUACAAAAUGUUACUUGAUUAGUUGGAUGCAUUGCAAAGUUAAGCUUUCAGUCUGGAUUUGUGCCUUGGAUCUGCGGUGCUGAUGGUGGACUUCCCUGGAGCCUUGACACAAACCAUGACAUGGAAGGCAAAGUAGGCAGAAGAGAGAAGUUGUCAACCUAUGUAAAUUGAGAACAUCCUAUCGAAAAGACUGACAAGGAAAGGCCUUGAAACUACUACUAUUAUUAUAUUGCCCACUUUCCUCAUUCAUUCGACAAGCUAUGGUGUAACUUUUCCCCAUCUAUCACUUCAAAUGCUGCCUAAGCAAAAAACCAGAAUGAGGAUAUCUUAUGAAUAAGGAUCUUACCCAUUUGUUGGCAUCUCUUGGCCUGUUAAGGCAAUUCCUUGUCUAUAGCUGGGGUCAAAAUCUUCUUUCUUAUUGGAUUAGUCAUUCAAAGAAUGAAAACAUUAGAUUAAUAUCUGACUCUUCACUUUGGACUGUUGUUUAUUUGGUGGAAGUGAAAGGAAGUUCAGUCACUGGUAAAAAAUCUAGUUCUGUUUCCUCUAAAGUCAAGUUCAAGCCCCAUCAGAAUGUCCCACAGAGCAAUCCUUACACUAAGAUGCCUGAAAUUAAAUACAAAACCACUUGAAAAGGGGAUGGUCAAUUUAGGUCAGGGUUGAGUACUUUCAUAAGUAAUAAAGUCAUCUAAAUUAAUUAUUCAAACAGACUAUCAAGAAUCCAAGAUGAGAAAGAGGAGAGCAUUCUUUUCCACAAGAUAAAAUAGGAGUGUCUCAUGACUGUUACCAAAUAACAUUGUCCAAUAUGGUCCCAUUUUAGCCAAAAACAUCUAUACUAUGUAUCUGUCCUUUAUUUUGCUUUGCUUUCCUCUUAAGUUUUUCUCAGUCUUUGUGAAAUCUGAAGUUUUAACUACAAGUUUCAAAAAUCCCAUUAUUUAUUUCUGAGAUUUGAGGGGAAAAGAUUUCUUUUUAAACAUCCUGAAUUUAAAAAUAAAUAAACUUAACAGGAAGACAUGACAGUCUAUUUCAAUCGCUCUUGUGAUUUUUCAUUUUGUGGCAUGUACUGAUAAAUUAUCCAAAGUCACAUCGUAAUUUUGCCUAAGAAAUGUAAGCAUUGUGGGAUGUUUCUAAAAUAUAAGGGGGGGCAAUCUUUCAUCCAGCCAGUUACUGGCCUGCUGCUCUUCCUAAUAGCAGCCAAACACCUGAACAAACCCAGUGAAUUCCGGGCCAAAUGGUUCUGAUAACAGCAGAUCUGGGACAGGAUUGAUUGGUAAAAUAAGUCUUUUAAAAUACUGUUUAAUAAGUGUCCUUAUUUUCAGUACUUCUCUUAGCUCAGGUAAAUAAAGUAAGGAUACAU